rnacentral:rRNA from 1 species
UACGUAGGGCGCAAGCGUUAUCCGGAAUUAUUGGGCGUAAAGAGCUCGUAGGCGGUUUGUCGCGUCUGCCGUGAAAGUCCGGGGCUCAACUCCGGAUCUGCGGUGGGUACGGGCAGACUAGAGUGAUGUAGGGGAGACUGGAAUUCCUGGUGUAGCGGUGAAAUGCGCAGAUAUCAGGAGGAACACCGAUGGCGAAGGCGGUUCUCUGGGCCUGUACUGACGCUGAGGAACGAAAGCGUGGGGAGCGAACAGG